CGGCGACCAACAUUUUUUUUUUCAUUUUCUUCAUUCGAGCAAUCGAAGCAACUCGAUCGGACCAUCUCCGUGGUUGGCCUCAUUCUUUAGAUGGAGACUCCCCUCUCGAAAGAGAUUCUACGAUGAGCAUUUUGUCAUUUUUCAAAAGGUAUACUAUUUGUUGAGGAAGCAUUUUUAAAUAAGCAUUUUUAUUUAGUAAUAGCCUCUUUUGAGCAUCUUAAAUUAUAAUAUGAUAUUAUAGGUU
rnacentral:lncRNA from 1 species